CGCCCUUCCAGAGGGGGACAACAGUUGGAAACGACUGCUAAUACCGCAUACGAUCCAAUCUCGGCAUCGAGGAUGGAUGAAAGGUGGCCUCUAUUUAUAAGCUAUCACUGAAGGAGGGGAUUGCGUCUGAUUAGCUAGUUGGAGGGGUAACGGCCCACCAAGGCGAUGAUCAGUAGCCGGUCUGAGAGGAUGAACGGCCACAUUGGGACUGAGACACGGCCCAG
rnacentral:rRNA from 1 species